AGGAGCUGGAUGAGAAGAAACUCUCACGUCCGGUUCUGUAGUAGAGAUGUUUUAGUAGUUUGAAGUUUGGAUCCUUAGCUUAU
rfam:Solanum lycopersicum cultivar Heinz 1706 chromosome 9, whole genome shotgun sequence.